rnacentral:tRNA from 1 species
UGAUGUAGCUUAAUGGCAGAGCACCUCAUUCGUAACGAGGCGGUUGGGGGUUCGACUCCCCCCAUCA